UAAUCCUUUUGCCCUAGAAAUUAAAACGCAUCUUCUUCUUCUUCACGCCUAAGCAUUUUCGAAAUCUCCACCUUCACAUUGUCGUCGCGCUUGAGUUUUUGAAAUCUCCAACUGAAAUCACCGUUCUUGAAGUUGGGGAAGCCCUAUCCCACACCCAUUCUUGACGUGAUUCGAAAUUGGUCUUCACACUCGUUCGAAAUCACCAUUCGAAAUCGCCACCGAAGAUUAAUUCCAUCUCUUCACACUCAAUCUCCGUCUGCCAUCCACCGUGCUUCAAGUCGGGCUCCUUCGAAAAUGUCAUCCAUCGUCGCUUCUCUAUACGAAAACUCCAUCCUUCUUUAUUUAGAGAUUAGAAAUUAAUUCUCAUUCACGUAUGAAGAUAUCUUGAUUUGUGAUUUGAACCUUUUGUAUUUGUAUAGAAGCGACGUAUUGCUCAUGGUGCUUUGGGUUUUUUGGGUUAGAAAUUUGAACCUCACGCAUGAAGAGGUUAGAAAUUAAUUCCUCUUCCCUCUUCACGUAUAAAGUUGGGGAAAGUCCAUAUAUCACAUGGUGCUUUGGGUUCUCCUUACAAAUCCAAUGGAGUUGAUGAUUGAUAUGAGAUGAUACAGAUUGAUAGAAGGAGAUAUGGCUUAUACGGGACCGUAUUUUCCCUACUGUCACACAGUAGAUGACCGUGAGGGAUACUCUAAACUCUGCACUUGAUGAAGAAAUGUCUGUUGAUAAAAAAAAAAAAAAUUAUGAGAGAAGAGGUCGGAGAAUAUCAGGAGACUUAUAAGGUUAGGUAGGUGGAAGAGAUGAUCUCUACUUCACAUGAUAUUUGAAUUUCUUAUUCAUUUAAUUGUACAUUUUAACAAUUUUUGGCUUUUUUAUUCCCUUCAAUUAGAUAACCAAAAGGCUUUUGGAGAAAUAUGGUUCUGAGAGGGUU